CCUACGGGAGGCAGCAGUGAGGAAUAUUGGUCAAUGGGCGAGAGCCUGAACCAGCCAAGUCGCGUGAAGGAUGACGGCCCUCCGGGUUGUAAACUUCUUUUGUCAGGGAGCAAUUGAGUCCACGUGUGGGCUUAGCGAGCGUACCUGAAGAAAAAGCAUCGGCUAACUCCGUGCCAGCCGCCGGGGUAAUACGGAGGAUGGGAGCGUUCUCCGUAUUUAUUGGGUUUGAAGGGUGCGUAGGCGGAAUAUCAAGUCAGCGGUAAAAUGUCCGGGCUAAACCCGGGCGUGCCGUUGAUACUGGGGAUCUUGAGUGCGCGAGAAGUGUGUGGAACGCGUGGUGUAGCGGUGAAAUGCAUAGAGAUCACGCAGAACACCGAUUGCGAAGGCAGCUUACCGGCGCCCGACUGACGCUGAGGCACGAAAGCGUGGGUAUCGAACAGGAUUAGAUACCCCUGUAGUC
rnacentral:rRNA from 1 species